CCUACGGGUGGCAGCAGUGGGGAAUAUUGCACAAUGGGCGAAAGCCUGAUGCAGCAACGCCGCGUGAGUGAUGAAGGCCUUCGGGUCGGAAAGCUCUGUCCUCAAGGAAGAGAAGGACGGUAGUGGAGGAGGAAGCCGAGGCUAACUACGGGCCAGCAGCCGCGGGAAUACGUAGGGGGCGAGCGUGAUCCGGAUGUACGGGGCGUAAAGGGUGCGUAGGUGGGUUCUUAAGUCAGAUGUUAAAGGCUACGGCUCAACCGUAGUACGCCUUUGAAACUGGGGGACUUGCAUGCAGGAGAGGAAAGUGGAAUUCCUAGUGUAGCGGUGAAAUGCGUAGAUAUUAGGAGGAACACCAGUUGCGAAGGCGGCUCUCUGGACUGUACCUGCCACUGUGGCAC
rnacentral:rRNA from 1 species